CUACGGGUUGCUGCAGUGGGGAAUAUUGGACAAUGGGCGCAAGCCUGAUCCAGCAAUGCCGCGUGAGUGAAGACGGCCUUAGGGUUGUAAAACUCUUUCGCUAGGGAAGAUAAUGACUGUACCUAGUAAAGAAGUCCCGGCUAACUCCGUGCCAGCAGCCGCGGUAAUACGGAGGGGACUAGCGUUGUUCGGAAUUACUGGGCGUAAAGAGUUCGUAGGCGGACUGACAAGUUAGAGGUGAAAUCCCAGGGCUCAACCCUGGAGCUGCCUUUAAAACUGUCAGUCUAGAGACCGGAAGAGGUUAGGGGAAUACCUAGUGUAGAGGUGAAAUUCGUAGAUAUUAGGUGGAACACCAGUGGCGAAGGCGCCUAACUGGUCCGGUACUGACGCUGAGGAACGAAAGCGUGGGGAGCAAACAGGAUUAGAUACCCCGGUAGUC
rnacentral:rRNA from 1 species